rnacentral:rRNA from 1 species
UACAUGGGGUGCAAACGUUGCUCGGAAUUAUUGGGCGUAAAGCGCACGUAGGCGGUUUGUUAAGUCGGAUGUGAAAUCCCUCGGCUCAACUGAGGAAGUGCAUCCGAAACUGGCAGGCUUGAGUACUAAAGAGGGUCGCGGAAUUCCCGGUGUAGAGGUGAAAUUCGUAGAUAUUGGGAAGAACACCGGUGGCGAAGGCGGCCUGCUGGGCAGUUGCUGACACUGAGGCGCGACAGCGUGGGGAGCAAACAGG